rnacentral:lncRNA from 1 species
CACAUAUGUUAUUACCUCUGCAGAUCUUGUAAUAUCCAUCUUCUCCCCAAGAAUCACCCCAUGAAUUCUUUAUGAUCCAAUAUGGUUUGUUCUUGAAUCUCAGCUGCGAAUACCCAGAAGCACCAUACCCAACUAACAGCACUCCAUGGUCCAGAUAAUUUUUAAAGCAUAUGUAAGGGCAAGACACGCCUCCAAUGUACGUUUGCAUGAAGGCAGCAUUGAUUCCGACCGCAAGAGGUCCAUAUUUCACAAGAUUUGCAGCGAUCUGAUCCUCGUCGGAGGAGAUAACACUGAAGUUCGCCACCGACGCUGCGAUCUUAGACUUGUCGAACUUGCAUGUGC